UGAGUAAAGUCUGGGAAUCUGGCCAAAGGCGGGGGAUAACCACUGGAAACGGUGGCUAAUACCGCAUAAUCUCUAAGGAGCAAAGUGGGGGACCGUUCUGGCCUCACACCUUCGGAUGAACCCAUAUGAGAUUAGCUAGUAGGUGGGGUAAGGGCUCACCUAAGCGACGAUCUCUAGCUGGUCUGAGAGGAUGAUCAGCCACACUGGGACUGAGACACGGCCCAGACUCCUACGGGAGGCAGCAGUGGGGAAUAUUGCACAAUGGGCGCAAGCCUGAUGCAGCCAUGCCGCGUGUAUGAAGAAGGCCUUCGGGUUGUAAAGUACUUUCAGUCGUGAGGAAGGUGUUAGGGUUAAUAACCUUAGCAAUUGACGUUAGCGACAGAAGAAGCACCGGCUAACUCCGUGCCAGCAGCCGCGGUAAUACGGAGGGUGCGAGCGUUAAUCGGAAUUACUGGGCGUAAAGGGCACGCAGGCGGUUAAUUAAGUUGAAUGUGAAAUCCCCGGGCUUAACCUGGGAAUGGCAUUCAAGACUGGUUAGCUAGAGUCUUGUAGAGGGGGGUAGAAUUCCAUAUGUAGCGGUGAAAUGCGUAGAGAUGUGGAGGAAUACCGGUGGCGAAGGCGGCCCCCUGAACAAAGACUGACGCUCAUGUGCGAAAGCGUGGGGAGCAAACAGGAUUAGAUAUCCUGGUAGUCCACGCUGUAAACGAUGUCGAUUUGGAGGUUGCGGUCUUGAACU
rnacentral:rRNA from 1 species